GCACUCGUCCAUUCCACGUCAGCUCCAUUUUAUUUCUAAUUUUUUCUAAUUUGCGUCUUAAUUUUAUUUUGUCGUUAUCUGUUUUUGUCUUUUCCUGGGAAUGCGUAGAACAGGAAGCCUACGCGAUAUAUGAAGGGUUUUGCUAGAUAGGGGUGUGCUGUGUUUGUUCAUUGAAUCUGGUCAUCCGUUCAUCUCAGCCAACAUACUUUUUCAUAUGGGUUUGUUCUCGUGUAGGUGUUAACCGGUGAAUCAAUUACCUUUUCGUAUGGGUUUCUUCUCGUGUAGGUGUUAUCUGAUGGAUGAAUUUUCCCUCCCAAAUGCAAUUGCCCUGAUUUGAAAUUUUUGAGGAUCUAUAAAUUGGGUAUAAUUGUUGAUAUUUGUUCAGUCACAAAUUUUUUGUCUCGUCUUCCUAACGAUGGUGUACAUGGAGAAACGUUUGGUUGAUUCUGCUUUUGAUGAAAUUGCUGAUGUUGUUCCUGGCAAAGAAAGGGUUCGUAUCAAGGCUAGGGUUAUUCGGUUGUGGAAAGUUCCUGCUUUUCUCAAUCCAAAUGAAUUUUGGAAGGGAAUAAGAUGUACCUUUUCCAUCUGGGCUCUAGCUUCCUCUUCAUUGUGAGUCUAAUCUUAAUAUUUUGUCCAUGAAUUUGUGAUUGCAGGCAUGACACAUGUGGUCUUUAGUAUGGAUAUUAUGGAGGAGCAACUUGCUACAUGAUGAUUUUUGUUGCAAGAACAAGGUUGGUUUACAGAAUUUGUUUGGAUCCUACAAUUAUUGAGGAAAUAGUUGGGCAACUUGUAUUUUUUGCAGCGUGUAAAUAUUUUCUUUAAUUUUUUUUAUGAGCUGUGUGUAGAAGAAGAUAGGUAGGCAUAGACCGGCGCUGCUAGCGAUGAAUCUGGUCGUGUUCCAUUAAUUUGUUCGUGAUUCAUCGAGAAGUUUCAUCUGGGGUGGGUUCAUCUGGUGGAGGUGGAAUGGGCGCUUAAUAUUUUCCCCCCAAAGAAGCUUAGCUUGUUUUGAAUUUUGAAUUCUAGGUCAUUUUCCCUCCUAAUUGGAUUUCUUCUGAUUCAAUUGCCUAUAAAUUGAGUAUGGGGGAGAGUUGCGAUGCACAUAUCGAGUUCAACAGGGUGUAGUUAGGGUUUGACGGUAUGGUGUAUAACGAUAAGCUGAAGGAGGAUGGUAAGUUCGAUGAUGUUGCUGAAAUUGGUCGUAUUAAGGUUAGGGUGCAUGCUUCGUCUGUGGAAAGUACCUGCUUUUCUUAAUCCAAUUGAAUCCAAUUCGCUUGAGAUGGUUUUGGGCGAUGAGAAGGGUGGAAAAAUUCAUGCCACUGUUAGGAAGUUUCCUACCUUCCUCAAUCCAUGUGAGUCCAGAUCUCUUGAGAUGGUUUUAGUUGAUGAGAAGGUCGGUGUUUUUUUACCACUUUUGGCGGUGCCAAAAUAGAAGGUGUAUGAAGUAGCAGCCAAGCCUGUGGUGAAAGCUGCCAUGGAAGGUGUCAAUGGUAUGAAAUGAUUAUCUUGAAAAAGGGAAGGUUGAUAUCAAGUUCGAUGAAAAUCUUCGUAUCAAGGUUAGCUCUCUUGAGAUGGUUUUGGUUGAUGAGAAGAGGAAUCUGAAACAGACAGUGAAGAAUCGGAUGUGAGUGAUUCUGAUGGAGAAGACACAUGUUGGAUCUCAUGGUUCUGCAAUCUCAGAGGACAUGAGUUCUUUUGUGAGGUUGAUGAUGAUUACAUUCAAGAUGACUUCAACCUUUGUGGAUUAAGCAGCCAAGUGCCUUACUAUGAUUAUGCUCUUGAUUUGAUUUUGGAUGUUGAAUCCUCCCAUGACAUUGAUCGAGCUUAUUUUGGAACAACAUUUCCACACCUCUUCUUGAUGACAUACGGAAGCCACAUAAACCAUCUCAGAGCUAUGUUCCAAGAGUUUUUGGGUUCAAACUUCACAAGCCAUGAAGCUUAAGCUUUCAUGAAAGUAAGAGGCUGUCUGUUUUAUAAAAUAUCCAGCUUGGAGUCAUUGCAUUCAAGCUCCAAGUGUCGGAGAUAUAAAUAAAUUUCAGUUGGCUGGUGUGCUCUAGGUUUGUUGUGUCCUGUAUCAUUGUGUGAACCAGUAAUGGUCUUUUUCAUUUCUAGUGGUUUGGAUCUGUUUCUUAUGUGUAGUUAUUUAGUUUUUAUGUGAAGUCUCAAAGUUGCAAUCCUUCUAUUUAAGCUCCAGGUUAUGUGGUUUUUAAGAAUUUUAUGUAUUAUUGUGUGCUUUAUGUGUGUUGUGUCACAUAUCAUCCUUUGAACAAUGAAUGUGUUAGUUUCCCUCUAUAAUAAAUUUUGAUAAA